rnacentral:rRNA from 1 species
GAUGAACGCUGGCGGCGUGCUUAACACAUGCAAGUCGAACGGAAAGGCCCAAUCUUGCUUGGGUACUCGAGUGGCGAACGUGUGAGUAACACGUGUGUGAUCUGCCCUGCACUUCGGGAUAAGCCUGGGAAACUGGGUCUAAUACCGGAUAGGACCACAUUGUGUAUGGUGUGGUGGAAAGUUUGUCGGUGUGGGAUGAGCUCGCGGCCUAUCAGCUUGUUGGUGGGGUAAUGGCCUACCAAGGCGUCGACGGGUAGCCGGCCUGCGAGAGUGUACGGCCACAUUGGGACUGAGAUACGGCGCAGACUCCUACGGGAGGCAGUAGUGGGGAAUAUUGCGCAAUGGGCGCAAGCCUGAUGCAGCGACGCAGCGUGGGGGAUGACGGACUUCGGGUUGUACACUCCUUUCGCUAGGGACGAAGCGUUAUGUGGCGGUACCUGGAGAAGAAGCACCGGCUAACUACGUG